CCCUCCUCCUCUGCUCCCCUCCCCAUCUCUCCUCUCCACUCCACUGCUACCUCUCCCUCUUUUUUGACAGGUUAGUUGCCCAACCUAACCUUAAACUUGAGCUCCUCUUGCCUCAGCCUUCCAGUUGCUGGGACUGUAGUUAUAGACCACCACCACCACGGCGGUCGGUUGGAGGUCAUCAUUUCUGCUCAUCUUCUCAUUCGGCACCCGUGGAGGUCCUUCGCACUGCUUCAUGGGUAGGACAACAGGUGCAAGAAAUCAAGUGGCUCUUCCAAGGCAGCAGAUUUGAGCUCCGAAUCUUCACCUCUCAGAAAGCCUAUGCUGUCAGUUAGCAUGUUCUACCUUCCUAUCAAGGGCCCAGUCAAACAUGGAUUCUUUAUUGUAUGUACUUAGCAUCCAACAAUACAGCUUUUGAUUAGAGAGAACCUUGCAGGAAGACCCUGCACCCUGAAAGGCAAUUAAUGCUGAGCCCAGUGCUUCCCUUUUUAGAAGCUGUUCUGUGAAGGAGAGCGAGCAGGAAGAUGAAGAAAGCCUGGAACCGAGUACACGCCACAGGAAGCAUGCUGACGUUUUCCGCAGUGCUUGUGAAAGGUCUAUUUCCAAACAAAAGAUUCAGCCUUUCUGCCGCUUACCUGAGCAAGAAGACAGAAGUUCCAAGAUGGCAUCAAGUCACAAUUGUUCCCGAUCACCACAGUGCAUUCAAUUCUUCUACUUAAAAAAAAAAAAAAAAAAAAAGACUGAGUCUAACUGUGUAGCCCUGGUUGGCUUGGAAGUCUCUAUGUAGACAAGACUGGCUUUGAACCCAUAGAGAUCUCUUUGCCUCUGCCACCUAUGUGCAUGUGUCCAUGGAGGCCAGAAGAGGGCAUUAGAUCUCCUGGAGCUGGAGUUGCAGGCAGUUGUGAGUUGUCCAAUGCAUGUGCUAAGAAGUGAAUUUAGGUCCUAUGCAAGAACAGCCGAGUGCCCUCAAUUGAUGAGCCAGCUCUAGCCACAGCUUGUGGGUUUGACUUUUUUAUUUUGGGGUUUUUGUUUUGUUUUUAUUCUCCCUGUGUGUCAGAGAUUGCAACUUUUAAAAGGAUUUCUCCAGAAGGAAGGAUUGGCACUGUUGUUUGUAGAAUCCAUAUGGAAACCUAACAAGAAGGGGAAUCUCUUAGGGAGGCCAGUGAAAGGCUGAACUCUUCAAUGCUUUUCACUUAGUCCCUCAUCUUUAUUGAUUGUCCUAAUUUAAGAGUCUGUAUUUCUUGCCAGAGUUUUUAUAAUCUGUUGGUCAUCUACCAGAGCAGGAGCCAGCAAAUUACGGCCCAUAGAUCAAAUGUGACCACCUCCCCAACACACUGCAGUUGUACCAAUUCACAAUUCUAUAGCUACUAUUAAGCAACAAGGACAGAACUGAGUAAUUGUGACAUGGCAUAUGGCUUCCAAAAACUGAAAUAGUAUCAUCUUACUAUUAAAGUUUUCUGACCCGUGCUCUAGAGUCUAAUGAAUUCUAUGCAGUCCAGUACUUACAUGAUGCUACCUUAGCUCUGCCAGGAUCCAGGUGAAUCUCAGAGUGCGUCUCUUACAUGCACAGUGCCAUUUAAUCCCCAUGACAAUCCUCUGGUUUCUCUUUGCAGAUGAGGAAACUGAGGUUCCAUAUCUUAUCCAAGGCUGGAGGGUGGGGAGCCAAAAUGGGACUUGAAUUAUUCAGUCUAACACCGACUCUUCAUAUGCAGCUGCACA
rnacentral:lncRNA from 1 species